GUGAAUCAUCGAAUUUUUGAACGCAAAUUGCACUCUUUGGUAUUCCGGAGAGUAUGCCUGUUUGAGGGUCAGUUUAAAUAAAAAUCGGUGUGUUUGCUGCCUUUCGUGGUGACGCACCGGAUUUGGGUCUGCUUUCCUUCGGUUAAGUGACCGAAAAUUUUGCAUGAUUUUUUUCGAACGUAUUUAAAUGAUUUUACCUACGUUUGCGAUAUCGAAUACUAUGUUUGGCAAUCCUUAUGAUUCGAGCCUAUAA
rnacentral:misc_RNA from 1 species